rnacentral:rRNA from 1 species
GAUGAACGCUGGCGGCGUGCUUAACACAUGCAAGUCGAACGAACCUUCGGGUUAGUGGCGGACGGGUGAGUAACGCGUGAGAAUCUGCCCUCAGGAGGGGGAUAACGGUUGGAAACGGCCGCUAAUACCCCAUAUGCCGCGAGGUGAAAUGAAUUUCGCCUGAGGAUGAGCUCGCGUCUGAUUAGCUAGUUGGUGUAGGUAAUGGCUCACCAAGGCAUCGAUCAGUAGCUGGUCUGAGAGGAUGAUCAGCCACACUGGGACUGAGACACGGCCCAGACUCCUACGGGAGGCAGCAGUGGGGAAUUUUCCGCAAUGGGCGAAAGCCUGACGGAGCAACGCCGCGUGAGGGAUGAAGGCCUCUGGGCUGUAAACCUCUUUUAUCAAGGAAGAAGAUCUGACGGUACUUGAUGAAUAAGCCACGGCUAAUUCCGUG